GUUUUUUCUCUGCUUUCCUGUGUUUGUCUUGGUGGGUGUGUGUGUUUUCUCGGCAGGCUGGGCGGAGUCGAAGGAGGGAGAACUUUCUCGCGCUGGCAGGUGCUGCUCAUCAGCUCAUCAACGGAGCUCCUGAAAUACCAGCGUCUCACAGACCUCCAGCGCCAGAUGAUCGUGAAUCAUCCUAGGGCGUCCCUCUUCGACUCCAGCUUCAGCGUCUCACGAGCCACACCAGCCAUAACCUUCUCCGUCUCACCACAGAGACCACCGCUUCGAGCACCACCUCUGGGAAAACCGUCACUGGGAAAAAGCACCUCGAGCACCGUCCCCUGAGCACCGUCACUGCGAGCACCGUCCCUGGAUUCCUCCACGCCUUCCUUCCCAGCACUACCUCGGCGGCACUUCCCCCUCCUCGGAUCCCGGCACGGACAAACCUCCACCUGCACCCCCCCUCGACUGACACUCCUACGGCUGGUUCCUGUCCCCGGUGACCCCCACUCCCUCACCCUUGUUAAUAAACCCUUUUUCCUUAUAA